GAGUUGUUCAUCCACAGGCUCGCGAUCCCGUACCCCUCUGUGCCCGACUCUAUAUCAAAUCUUUACUGCUUCAACCCAAGGGAGAUCAACUUUAACACCCAAAAAAAGGUUUUCUUUUUUGGCUAAAUUACAUAAAAGCCCCCUGUCAAAACCCGAUUUUUUACUUUUCCCCUCUGUCAUUUAAAAACCUACACUUUGCCCCCUUGUAAAAUGAAAAAUGUUCACGAUGGGGUACGGUAUGUAAAAUGACUAUUUUGCCCCUCACCAUUUUUGCCUCAUUCAUUAUCUUCCUCAACCGCCGCCUCGAUCGGCCGCGAUUCACACCUCGAUCGACCGUGAUUUCUCUCCAUUUUUUUCUCCACCUGCUCCCCUUCUCCUCCUGCACCCUCGCCGCCCCUCGAUUUCGGUGACAAUAGGGAGAAAAUCGAGGUGGGAGUUGAUGGAGAGGUAGGCAAAGGCAACGAGGGCGAAGGCGAGGCGGCGGAGAACGACAAAGGGGAUGUGGGCGACGACGAGGCAGCGGAGGAGGGCGAGGCGGCGAGCCGGAAGGAAGCGAAGCAACAGGAAAGAGGGCAGAGGAGUAUUUUUGGUAUAGAAAAAUAUUUUAUAACAAAAUCCUAACGGUAUGGCGUGAAGUGCACGUUUUUUAUUUUACAAGGGAACAAAGUGUAGGUUUUUAAAUGACAGGGGGGAAAGUGAAAAAUCGGGUUUUGACAGGGGGUUUUCUGUAAUUUAGCCUAUUUUUUUCCUUUUUUUGAGAUUUUGAAGCUAUAGGGGUUGAAUUGAAGAGGUUCUCUUUACUCUCUCCAAGGUAAGAAAGCGAUCAAAACAGAAAAAUCGGGUUUUUUCCCCUCUCCACUCUCCUUCUCUCUAAAAAAUAAGGCGAUUUCAAUCGAAUAAGGGAUCAAAUUUGCAAGAGAUUGAUGGAAAUUGUAGAAAAAAUUUGCAAAGAGUGCAACUUUCACCUAAAGGGUCGGAGGGGAAGGAGGAAGAGAAAGAAGAAGAAUGAGAAAUUGUGUAAAUUUCACUCAAAGAGUGCAACUUUCACCUAAAAGUGUAAUUCUCAUCUCAAAGAGUAUAAUUUCUAUCUUAAAGAGUACAACUUUUAUUUAAAAUAAUACAAAAAUUUUUAAAACAGUGUAACUUUAUUUUAACAGAACAAUUUCAUCUUUUUUUUCUUUUUCUAUAAUUUUUUAUCUUCCUUGUAGGAAAUUUUUUUUUAACUUUUAUUAUUCUCGUUUUUUUCUCUCUAUAAUUUUUUUUUGUUACGACCUCUUCCUUGCCCUCUAUCACAGCUACCGUCCUCGCC
rnacentral:lncRNA from 1 species